UACGGAGGGAGCUAGCGUUGUUCGGAAUUACUGGGCGUAAAGCGCGCGUAGGCGGCUUUGUAAGUUAGAGGUGAAAGCCCGGGGCUCAACCCCGGAACUGCCUUUAAGACUGCAUCGCUUGAAUCCAGGAGAGGUGAGUGGAAUUCCGAGUGUAGAGGUGAAAUUCGUAGAUAUUCGGAAGAACACCAGUGGCGAAGGCGGCUCACUGGA
rnacentral:rRNA from 1 species